AUACUGAAUGCACAUGACUGAGGUUUGGAGGCAGUGCUAAUCUGUAAGAUACAGUGCCAACCUUGUCUAAUAUCUCAAAGGGGCCAAUGUAUCUAGGACUAAGCUUGCCUCACUUUCCAAACCUCAUUAUUCCUUUCAUAGGAGAGAUCUUUAGGAACACAUGAUUUUCCGUGCCAAACUGCACAUCUCUCCUUCGGACAUCUGCGUAGCUCUUCUGCCUACUAAACAC
rnacentral:lncRNA from 1 species